rnacentral:rRNA from 1 species
UGGGGAAUUUUGGACAAUGGGGGCAACCCUGAUCCAGCCAUUCCGCGUGAGUGAAGAAGGCCUUCGGGUUGUAAAGCUCUUUUGUCCGGAGCGAAACGGCUACGUCUAAUACACGUGGCUACUGACGGUACCGGAAGAAUAAGCACCGGCUAACUACGUGCCAGCAGCCGCGGUAAUACGUAGGGUGCGAGCGUUAAUCGGAAUUACUGGGCGUAAAGCGUGCGCAGGCGGUUUUGUAAGCCAGAUGUGAAAUCCCCGGGCUCAACCUGGGAAUGGCAUUUGGGACUGCAAGGCUUGAGUGCGGCAGAGGAGACUGGAAUUCCUGGUGUAGCAGUGAAAUGCGUAGAUAUCAGGAGGAAUACCGAUGGCGAAGGCAGGUCUCUGGGCUGACACUGACGCUCAUGCACGAAAGCGUGGGGAGCAAACAGG